UACGGAGGAUCCGAGCGUUAUCCGGAUUUAUUGGGUUUAAAGGGAGCGUAGGUGGAUUGUUAAGUCAGUUGUGAAAGUUUGCGGCUCAACCCGCGGACGGCACAUGAUACUGCGAGACUAGAGUAAUGGAGGGGGAACCGGAAUUCUCGGUGUAGCAGUGAAAUGCGUAGAUAUCGAGAGGAACACUCGUGGCGAAGGCGGGUUCCUGGACAUUAACUGACGCUGAGGCACGAAGGCCAGGGGAGCGAAAGGG
rnacentral:rRNA from 1 species